UGGGGACUUUUGGACAAUGGGCGAAAGCCUGAUCCAGCCAUGCCGCGUGAGUGAAGAAGGCCUUCGGGUUGUAAAGCUCUUUUAGUCGGAAAGAAAAGAUCAUAAUGAACAAUUAUGAUUCAUGACGGUACCGACAGAAAAAGCACCGGCUAACUACGUGCCAGCAGCCGCGGUAAUACGUAGGGUGCGAGCGUUAAUCGGAAAUACUGGGCGUAAAGGGUGCGCAGGCGGUUUUGUAAGUCAGAUGUGAAAUCCCCGGGCUUAACCUGGGAAUUGCGUUUGAAACUGCAAGACUAGAGUGCAGCAGAGGGGAGUGGAAUUCCAUGUGUAGCAGUGAAAUGCGUAGAGAUGUGGAAGAACACCGAUGGCGAAGGCAGCUCCCUGGGUUGACACUGACGCUCAUGCACGAAAGCGUGGGGAGCAAACA
rnacentral:rRNA from 1 species